UGAAAAAUGCAGUUGGUUCUCGAUGACUGAGAGCAAGGAUUGAGCUUGAGAGGUGAAUACAUGCUUUUUUUUGGGUUGUCGAAAGGAAGAAAGUGAGUAUAUGAACUUUAUCAUUAGUAUUAAAAAUCGUACAUGUACCUCUGUUGCUGUUUGACCAGAAAUGUUUUAAAAAGUCAGUCAAAAUCAAUCCUUCCUCUUUGAAGGGAAAUCUAAACAGUUUUCGUCUUAUAUCAUUCCCAUAUUUAUAUAUUUUACCACCAGCCAAUGAAAAUGGUGAUGGAAAAUCCUGCCUCUCACGUCUUUUUAUCAUAUCCUUCUUCACCCUUCCUGCUCCAAUUAUUAAAUUAACUGCGUCAUUCCGCUUCACAACGCAUCGUAGCAGGAGAGGAGGAUUUAAUAUAAUGUACAUUAUGCUUGUCUUGUCUUCUAGCUAACUGUCCUGAGCAGUGGCAGAGCAGAGAAAUGUGGGGGCAGAGGGACAAUGUCCCCACGGUUAUUCAAUGUCCCCAUUAUCUGCCCAUGUUAAAUAUACAACCUCCUCCCUCCCCCAUCCUACAAUGUCAAUGUCCCCAGAUGUCCCCACGGCUUCUGCGGCCCCUGGUCCUGAGUGACUACUACUUACUUUUCUUGAUAAAGAAAGAUUGCGUUAUUCAUAAAUUAUUAUUCGGGAUGCCAACCUCUGUUGAAUUCUUGCUGGAUGAUUGGAUUACGUAUAUCUUCUGUACAUGCGGAGUUCAUUCCUCUUAUGCUUGUGUUGGAUUGAUUAUAAUUAAUUAAGUACUGUUGACCUCGUGCAGCAGCGAGUGCAUUGAUGGACUUUCCAUGACAAGCAGAUAUGUAUGUAGUGCAAUAAUAAUUAUCCGUUAAGUAAGAGUCAUUCAUAAUCCCAACUUCAUAAGAUUUACCUAUUUAUUACUAAAGUUAUGCACUCGGGGUAGUUCUUGUUAAUCAGUUCGUACUAAUCUCUCAUGAUGAAAUACAUUUGGGGAAAAGUAAAUACGUCGUAUAAAAGUGUAACUAAUGAUUGGGUUGGUUUUGGUUGGUUGGUUGGACCUCCAUUUUGCACAAAAUGGAGCACCUGUCUGUCUACAUUUCAACUUAUCAGGUCAGGUGGGAGGAAGUCGUUAACUUUAUACUGUGCUAUCUCUCCCCCCCUACAGACAACCACUACCCAUCCCUUUCUCUACUUCUGGUUGGUUGGCUAUAUAUCCGAAAUGAAAUGGUAUGGCGUCGUGGCACUGGGUUUUUUUACUUUAUGGGAGUCAUUAUUACCCGUCACUUACAGCAAAGCCCAGAUUGUGUUCUGUUUGUACCUUCUACACAUCUCUAUCUGUUAGAAUUGGAACAAAUGGAUGUGAUAGUUGGUGGCAGAAGACAUUCAUCCAUCUGCCUGCCUGCCUACCUAUAAUGCUACCUCCACCUCGACCACCUCGGUCUUCGCCCGAUUCGUUCACCAGAUUGCUAUUGAGCACGGAUGAUAAAGUGCUUUGAUAGAUUAGGAUGUAACGACGGAGAAAAGCAAACAAUGCUCCCCUUGCAUAAGGAGGGCUUGGUUGAUAGCCAAGCAUGAUAAUGACUGAUUUGUCCAGAGGGGACGAAAUUAUCAACCAUGAUGAUGAUGACUGAUACUAAUUACGGUUAUAGAUAGUUUGUACUCCAUAGUUCAUUGUCGCAAUUAUUAACGUAUUGUUUUAAGCAUCGUCAUCAUCACGACCAAUUCCCACCCGGGUGCUCGUACCUACGUAUUCGAUCAAACUGAUCGAAGUGGACAAAGUGAAAGUCGCCCGUAUUCCCAGAAGAUGAAGAAGGGUGUUCCUCCUUUCGCCAAAUGAGUGAUGGAGAUGGAAGGUGGGAGGAUGGAUUUCUCAGGUAGGACAAAUGGCUGUCUGUCACAGGUGCCAUUGAGACAGGUUGUUCAGGAAGAAGAAGAUCCUCCUCCUCCUCUCAUUUCUAUAUUCGUCCAACACACUUAUCUAUCUCCACUUCUGUAGUCAGACAUCACAUCCAUUCGUACGAAUAUACCCACCACUCCAGGAACAGGAUAAGAAAUAUAUCGAGUGACUACCUUAUGUGAGACGCUAAAGGAAAAAUCUGGUGUAUGUAUGUGCAGUAAUGUUGAGGAUGUUGAAUGGUGGAUGGAUCACCUUCAUCUCCGUGUCGUCAUUAAGUCGGCUGCUCAUCCUGAUUCCUCCCUGGCAGUCGACCAAAAAGGGAAGGUGAGUGAAGUGAGUGAGAGUUGUGAGGUGAUUCUUUCCACUUCAAUCCAAGAGUCACAGAGUUGGAUCGAGAUUCGAAAACUUUCCGAUUUAUCGAUAUUAUUAUUUCACUUUGAAUGUCCUCUUCUUUGCACCGUUUGCGUCAUCCUCUUCCCCUUCCAACGCCACGCUCUCCUACAUCUUCUUCUCUUGCUCGAGGUGACAAACAAAAUAUUUCAUGCUGACAACCCAGAAAUAAAUGGGAUCCAAAAGCAUAUUGUCGGCCAAAAGAAUAAAUAUAUAAAUUACGAGGACCGUUAAUUUGGUCUCAAUGAAACUUUUGACACACUUCAUGCAGUGCGAAAAACACUUUGUUUCGCACGCGGGUUGUAAAGUAGCUGGAUGAGGGAAUUUGUUUUAUGAGGUGUUGAACGUUUAAUCAGAAUAUACGCAAAAGUGUAUGUACUUAUGUAGGUACCUUCUUUAUAUAUUAGUAAUAAUUUUCACCCAUCACUCUCCUCAUGCAUGGCUGGAAAAUAAUAAAAAAGAUUAAAAAGAGGUGAUGAAGAAAAUCUGACUCAUGUGUGCAAUUUUAUGGAUGGAUGAAUUCCUGAGGAGUGAAAUGACUAACCCGAAAUACCUAAAUUUCAUAACCAACCUAUGAUCUUUCUUACGUAUAUAUUGUCUUUGCAUACCAACCCAAAAUCGAACUAGAGACAGACAGUCCGGACUCAAGAAAUUAUUAUGGGAGGAGAUCAGCAUAUUUGGAAAAUGUGCAAUUUAAGAAAUAUUGCACCAUUUAUUGUCAAGUAGUACGAUGAGGGACAAAUGAGGUGAAAUUCGACUUUUAUAACAAGCGCAAGUAAGUGGCAGAAAAGAGCGAUGUAUAGGACAGCCAACUCUCUUUUUGAAAAGUAUCAAACCCAUCAAAUCAAGGCUGUUUGAAAUUUCCAUCUCUCAAUCAUCCAGUUUUUUUCAUCGUAUGACAUUAAGCAAAAUUACAUCCAACACCAACCCUCAAGGUAUCAGAUCUCGAGCAAUUCAAGAAAAUUCGGUUUUAAAAAUGCUGAUCGUGUCAAGGUGAUUUUACAACGAGAGAUACAGAAAGGGGAAGUCUGAGCGGAGGGGAAAUCUGUUUCUGUCCAAGAAUUGAGACACUCCACUUUUAUUUUAUUUCUUCUUUUUCAAAUCUCUGCAAUAUGAUAUCAUCAUCGCAUGGGAUGUGAUCUGGUAGCGAUAUCUCCUCUCCUCAGAUCAAGAUCU